AGGACGAACGCUGGCGGCGUGCCUAACACAUGCAAGUCGAACGGGACCAGGGGCAACUCUGGUUCAGUGGCGGACGGGUGCGUAACACGUGAGGAACAUGACCUUCGGCGGGGGAUAGCCGGCCCAACGGCCGGGUAAUACCGCGUACGACCACUUUGGGACAUCCCUCGGUGGUGAAAGCAGCAAUGCGCCGAUGGAGUGCCUCGCGGCCUAUCAGCUAGUUGGUGAGGUAACGGCUCACCAAGGCGACGACGGGUAGCUGGU
rnacentral:rRNA from 1 species